UCAAUUGAUUCUGAUGGAGGAAAAGAGAGCAUUGGGUGAUUCAAAUGUGGACAUACUUGAAAGCACUUGGUAGAGCUCUGUUUUUAUAAUUAUCUGUUGACAAUCGAUUUGCCUUUCGCCAUUGGAAGACAUUAAUGUUUCUCUCUGGAGGGAAGAGUUUAAGCAAAUUUAAGGCUCCUCAAAUGAAUGCAUGAGUCCUGGAAUAUCCAGCGAAGUUGAAGGUAACGUGCAUGUGUUUUCAUUCAGUAAAUAUCAGCUAGUUGUGUUUUGUUCCAAUUCACUGCUUAUGUAUGAAUAUGUACUCAGCUUUCGUCUAUUUGAUGGGGCUCUUUAACAACUUUAUUGUUGGGUUGUUUUUCAUGACCUGUGGUCAUUAUGGAAACAUGUGUUCUUUGGGUGGAUAAACUGAUAUUUUCACUGUGUUUUAUUGUUAAAAACAUAAGCCCAAAUUUCUGCUAAAAUUUCUUGACAUCGUUUAGGUGGAGGAAAAAGGUUUAACUGCUGAGGUGGCCGACCGCAUUGGCAAUUUUGUAAAGGAAAGGGGUCCACCUCUGGAAUUGUUGGCAAAGCUUCAAGACAAGGGGAGCAAAUUUUUGGAAAAUGAAGGAUCUGUACAUGCUCUGGAUGAUUUGGAAAUAUUGUUCAAUGCCUUGGAAAAGUCAAAGAGUAUCAACAGAGUUGUUUUUGACUUGAGUCUUGCCAGAGGUUUUGAUUAUUAUACAGGGGUGAUUUAUGGAGCAGUUUUUAAAGGGGCCACGCGGGUGACUCUUUGCAAGCGCUUCCUACUUAAUAUUUCACGUAUAAGCAAUUUCUGUCUGGCAGUUUUGCUCGUCAAAGAUAGGACAUAGAAGUAAUCCCCUUUGAUUACAAAAUGGAGUUGCCUUGUAGUUGCUGUUGUCUUGUCCCCGUGGUCAUUUCUACACUUGUGAAAGAGUGCGCGCAUGCUUGUGAGAGAGAUGAAAGAUAUGAGGCGUAAAAUCUGCUAAGAGAUGUUGAUGAGGUCUCAUUGCUGCAUUGUCUGUGUUGACACCUAAAUUUUAGCGAUCUGGUCAUUUAUUUAUUGCAUAGAAAAUAAUGGGUUAAUUUUAUCCCUGAAAAAAUAUUAAUUGCAUAUCAUAUAGAUUUAUAUGCAUUUAUUUUUAGUUUGCAUGUUUUGCAUUUAUUUAUUGGACCGGUAGUGGAUGGAUUUGAAUUAGUGGUUUUGAGCUUUAGCUUGGUAGGCUAGACUAAGGCCACGAAGCGAGCAAAUUGGCCCAAACCCCUUUUUUUUGAUGAUCGAAGAUUAUCUCGUGAAAAAUAGGAAUUUGAAAUUUUUCGGGACAUAUUGAAUUUUUUUUUUUUUUGGAUAGGGUAAGUGGGAAAGCAAAUAUUGCGUUCGGCAAAAUGAAUAUUGCGUUUGGAAAAUAAAUUGAAAUCCUAGUCUAUGGCUUAUAAAUAGAUUAUUUGUGUAGGAUUUUCGGGGGCCGCACAAUUGAGUAUACGAAAAAUUGAGAAACAUACGUGAGAAUCGAGAGGAAAGGGCAGAUCGUGAGGGAAAAUUGACGGCGAACAAAAGUUCUGCCCUUUGACCUUUGGUAGUUCAAAGGGGCUCCAUCGACUCCAGGGAUCUUCAUGCACGCCUGCGGCUUUUUCUCGGUGAUGUUAUCGUGUCCGUGAAGAGCGCCCAACGUCAACCAGUCUGCUGCCACGCCAGUUGCUUCGUGGUCGUCCCACCACGACCCAGCUUCUGCCAGCAAUCCAGGCGUGUGCUUCCAGGUGGCCGGUACAGUGGCGCCAGCGCCCAUCCAUUCGUGCGGAUGCUACUGCAGGUUCCCCAGCUUUGAGUUGCGACCAGAUUGUUCAUUGUUCAACCCGACGCAACGGAUUGUUCCUUCUUAUUCGGCCUCACCAUUCUGGCCUCAAUACUGUGACCGGUUCUCAGCACUAACGAUCCCUCAGCGACACCGGCAAACCUCCCGACGAAUUAUUUAAACUUUCGAUAGUUUUGCAGAUUUCUUGGUGUCCUGAACGAUAGCCCAUCGAACUCGUCGUGACUUUGUCAAGCCACGUCGUGAUACUGCCACAGCCAUUGCCCUAGAGCUGUGCCGUGCCGCGCCCAUCGUUGGUCCAUUCUACUGAUUGGAUUUUUGAAAAAAUUCAAUUUAGGUAGAGAUUUAUUUUAUUUUUAGGUAGAUUUAUUUUAUUAAGAAGAUUUAAUUUAUUAGGUAGAUUUGUUUUAUCUUAUUUUAGUUUUUGAUAUUUUAUCUCUUUGUUUGAAAUAUUUUCCAAUGCAUAAUUGAAAUCCAUGAUGUAGCAUCCAAUUCACAACCGCAUGAAUUUUUGUUCCAUCUAUAAGGUUUAGAUGGAAUAAUUAUUCACGCGGGAGUAAAAUUGAUAUCUUGAUCUUUAAGGCUUAAGAUCAAUUUAUCGAUUUUAUAAGUGAAAUAAUCAAGUUUGAAUUUCAAUUCGAAUGGUGGAUAGCAUUUUUUUAUAACCAUGGAUGAUUUAUGUUUAUCUUUUAAUUGUUUUGCUUAUCCCGAAAAUACAAAAAAAUUACAUUUGCAUUUCAUGUAGAUUAGAAUUGAUUGCAUGAUAGGUUAGUUAGAUUUUUUUUUUAAAUGCAUCUAUUUAGAAUAGAUAACAUUUCACUUUAGUUUUCACUUUAGUUAGAUAUUAUUUUUAGUGAUUUUAAUUACGAAUUUUCAUUAAAUAAAAAAAAAAUCAUGCACAUGUCAUGUGGGAUUAGAUUCAUGAAAUGCCCGUCAUCUAGUGAUUGUUGCUAGGUUCAUUUAGUUAGAAAUUGCUCAUCAUUAAAAUUAGGUCAUUUGGUUCAUUUAGAUUGCACAUUUAAUUAUUGCAUAUCUUUAGAAUAGAUUGCAUACUUAUUUAUGUCAUGUAGUUUAGAUCAUAUUGUCAUGUCAUAUCAUUUCAUGUUAGAUUAAUAGCAUGUAUUACAUAAAUCAUGAUUUUCAUCAAAUAAGUGAAAAUCAAAUAAGUGAAAACAAAAAAGAAAUUACGUGUUAAUUAGAAAUCAUAUCUAGGACCGUUGAUGUGAAUUAUGAUCUAACAUUGCAUAUGCUUUCGUUGUUAUGAGGUAAGUUUUGCAUUUUUUUUUUUAUGUGUUGGAGAAAACUUCCUUUAGUGUUUUAAAGUUGACAAAACGUUUCCAUCAGUCUAGUCUGAAGACUUGCAGACUCUUCCAUAAAAUUCUGAAUACCUCCGGAUUGCCAGACUCAAGACUCAAAGUCUAUCCUCAUUGACAGUUUCUAGACCGUCGAAGAAAGCUUAUCCGAAUCAGAGUAUUUCGUUAAGGAUUUGAUUAUGUCGACUAAAGAAGAUCUUUUGGCUGAAUAUAGCAUGUCGGAAUCCAUUAUUCAAAUUAAGAUUGAUUCGAGGAUUUUGGAUCCGUUGAUUGGUGAAGUAUACUUGGAAAGUUCUACUUAUGGAAACCCAGAUCCUAAUUGUAUGGGCGAGCAGGAUUGGUGGGCUAUCGUCAUGUUUCUUAAAUAGCUCAAAAUUUUCCUAAUUGAUUCUGUCCAACGGGUAGAUUGGAAGAAUUCAUUUGGUAAGUGCCAACGGGUGUGAUGGCAUGAAGGAGUAUAUAAGAAAGACGUUCCAGUUGUUCGAGUGUGUGCACGAUAGAAGAAUUCGAAAGUCUGAAACUCCUUGUUCUUAGUCAAUUACAUUGUUGAGCGAAAUCUUGUACGCAAAAGAGAGUCUAUAUCUUUGAGAGACCUUGAGGAAGUGUAGCAGAGUCUCUACACUGUGGAAUCAAGGAAGAGCUUUACUGUAACAACUCUUUUGUUUCAUAGUGAAAUCCAGCCAGCGGGCUGUCAGUGCGGAAGAGUGGACGUAGGCUUGGAUUAAGCCGAACCACUAUAAACCCUGUGUUCUUAUUCUCUUCUCUACGCUCUUUUAUAUUGAUCGUAACUCGAUUUGUUUACAAUAGUCUAAUUUCCUUUUCAUAAUCUAUUGCUAAUUUAAGUUGCACACUUCACUAGGGAAAAUUUGUUUUUACACCUAUUUACCCCCUCUAGGUGCUCAUACUAGCUUUCACAAUUUGCUUUCGGGGUGUUAAAUUGGUGGUUUGCGCACCCAAUCACCUUGCAUGUUAAGGAGGUAAAUUAAAAUUAAUUCAAGCUGCCUGCAAAACAUUUUUUGAAAAUAAAAGAGAAAUAUACCGAAAGGGUAUUAGAAAAGUCUAGUGUAACCAAAUCCCCGUACCCAAAGUCUCUAGUUAUUAUUUUACUUAGGUGUCUAAUCGACUUACCGUAAACUGAUUAAUGACGACUCCCUUUUGCAUGCUAGAUAUUUGAAUUUAAGUCGCGAAUUGAUAUGGGCUUGAAACUGAUUAAUGGCGACUCCCUUUUGCAUGCUAGAUAUUUGAAUUUAAGUCGUGAAUUGGUAUGGGCUUGGGAGAGCCCGGGCUAAGUUAGACUUAGUAGUCCAUUAAUGGUGCACCCGAAAUUUAGGUCGCAACAGUUUGCAUCUUGAUAGAGGUGCAAAUUUUCAUGUUAUUUUGUUAAUAUUCACAUAAAAAAUAUGGACCUUAGUUACAGAAUGUACCAAAGGCUUCUCUAUGGAAAUAGUAAUGAACUGAAUAAUUGCACCACCAGAGAUAUUUAGAAAAGCUAUCAAUUUAAAUUACGAUGCCAGGUUUUGAAAGUGAAUGUGAACUUCCAUCCACAUUUCAGAGCCUUGUUUUUGCUGGUCUUACACAAGUAUUGCUACUUUGAAGCUCCAAUGGAACAAAUAUUUGCACUUACCACUGUUUCAAGAGAUGAAAGAGUUGUGCUUUAGUGAUGUUGGAUGGUGAUGUGGUUGAAUGUGGUAGAUAUAUCUUUAGAGACAAAUCUAUCGGCAUGGAAUAUGAUUUGGGCAACUCGAUCAUAUAAGGAUUGACAUGGACAAUUUGGGUAUGCAUGACAACGUUUUUGUUUCUUUCAAUUUUUGUUCUUUUGUUCUCCGGAAUAAAAAAAGAACAGAAAUCCAUUUGAUAAAACUUUUGUUCCUGGGAAAAAUUUCUCUAUUUUUUUUGGUUCCCAGGAACAGUUUUGGAAUAGAAACCAGAAACAAAAAAAAGUACCUUCUUGUUCCCGGGAAAAAUUUCUAGAAAUAAGCCAAUUUUUUUUUUCUUUUGUCUCUCUCUUCUCAUGGCCACUUCCAACCACCCGGAGCCAUUGCUGACCGUCGCUGCCGCCACUGACCGACGGCCGUUACCGAUCGCCGCUACCACCCGUCGCCGAUCGCCACCGCUGCCCGUUGCUGCCCGCCGCCGCCGUUGCACAAACGCCAGCCACCGACCAUCACCGCCGACCGCCGCUGCACAAGCUAUCGGCCGCCAGCGUUCAUGCAACAAGGGUGGCAGGCGACGACGAUCAGUGGCGGCCAGCGGUCGACAGUCAGCGAUCCAUGAGUAAGAAUAAAAAACGAAUAAAUACAAAAAAGAAACUGUUUCGUACCAAACGCAUUUCUAUUUUUUUUUCUAUUUCUAGAGUAGAAAUUUUGUGUAGUUACGUGUCAGAAAGUGUGGAUAUUAGUGCUCAUAAUUGUUAGAGAAAACUUCCUUGAGUGUUUUGAAACUGACAAAACGUUUCCAUCAAUCUAGUUUGAAGACUUGCAGACUCUUCCAUUAAAGUCUGAAGACCUCCGAACUGCUAGACUCAAGACUCAAAGUCUAUCCUCAUUGAUAGUUUCUAGACCAUCGAAGAAGACUUAUCCAGAAUUGGAUGUUUCAUCAAGGAUUUGACUUUAUCGACUGGAGUAGAUCUUCCGGUUGGAUAUAGCAUGUCGGAAUCAUUUAUUCUGAUCUAGACUGAUUUGGGAAUCGUGGAUUCGUUGAUUGGCGAAGUAUACUUGGAAGGUUCUACUUAUGGAAACCAAGAUCUUGAUUGUAUGGGCAAGCAGGAUUGAUGGGCUAUCGUCAUGUUCCUUAAAUAGCUCAAGGAUCUUCCUAAUUGAUUCUGUCCAACGGGUAGAUUGGAAGAACUCCUUUGGUAAGUGCCAACGGGUAUGAUGGCAUAAAGGAGUAUAUAAGGAAGGCGUUCUAGUUGUUCAAGUAUGUGCGCGAUAGAAGAAUUCCAAAAUCUGAAGCUCCUUGUUCUUAGUCAAUUAAACUGCUGAGCGAAAUCUUGUACGCAAAAGAGAGUCUAUAUCAUUGAGAGACCUUGAGGAAGUGUAAUAGAGUCUCUACACAGUGGAAUCAAGGAAGAGCCUAUUUGUAACAACUCUUUUGUUCAUAGUGAAAUCCAGCCAGUGGGUUGUCAGUGCGGAAGAGUGGACAUAGGCUUGGAUUAAGCCGAACCACUAUAAUCUCUGUGUUCAUAUUCUCUUCUCUAUACUAUUUUACUUUGAUCGUAAUUCGUUUUGAGAAUUUCAUUUUCUUAAUCUAUUGUUGAUUAGCACUGCACAUAUCUCGCAAAAUUGUUUCUGCACCUAUUCACCCCCUCUAGGUGCUCAUACUAGCUCUCACAAUUGGUAUCAGAGCUUAUGUACUCACUUGAAUUGAAGUGUUUUACUUUAAAGUUAAAGAUCCAUGGCUAGUAUGUUGGCUCCAGGACUGGUUGAAGGGCAAAGCAAUACCAGACCGCCUUACUUUGAUGGAAAGGAAUAUAACAUAUGGAAAAACAAAAUGAAGGCAUUUCUAAGAUCAAAUGAUCCUCUGGAAUGGGACGUGGUAGAAAAAGGAAUCAUUUCUAAAUCUACAUCAGUCUCAGAAAGAUGAAAAGAAACCAUUGAGUCUAGCAAAAUGACUCAAGAAGAGAUAACCCAGAGACAAGCUCUUGAUGCAAGAAGAUAUGUAGCAAGAAAACGAGGGUGAAAACUGUCAAUACAAUUGUUUCUCCUAUAACAUUAAAAAUGCUUUAAAAAGAAAAAAGAAAAAGAUAGCACCAUUCCAUUGUUAUCCGAAUGUUUCUUGGUCCAACUUUGAAGGAAGAAGCUUCAACAUUUAAAUGUGAUUCAAAGUAGAUAUAUUAACAGCCGGAUCAACAGAAGUGCAGAUCAUAUUAGGGCAAAGUACAACCCAAGUGCCAAAACUUGGCACAAGAAGACAUUUAAGUGCUAAAAGUUAGGAAAGUGACACUUAAAUGCUACUUUUUUGAAAAAGUGGGACACUUAAGUGCCACUUCUGGCGGACCUUGCCGGAAAUCCUACGUGGCAAUAUUUUAUUGUUUUUGCUCGCCUAGGUGGCUCGCUGGAGAGCUGACUAAGCUCUAACUCACCCAAAACGAUGUCGUUUCCAUAGUUUGCCAAAAUAUAAGCCCCGAAUUUGCCAAAACGUCGUCAUCGCCGAAAUUGCCCCAAAUCUAAAACCUUAAAUCGGCUAAAAUCCCUAGUGAAGUGUUCGAAUCCUAGUCUCGAACUUGAUUUGCCUAAAAUUCCAUCGUCAAAUAUUGGAAAUGGAGAGCAGGACUCGCAGCAACGCCUCAAAUUCCUCUCACCGAAGCGAAGGAGAAGGCCAGAGUUUCUAUUUUUAUGGAUUACCGAGUCCAAGAAGAACAUCGUGGACUCGAAUGAAUCUCGGGAGAAGAUUUUAUGUAUGCGCCAUAUAUAAUGAAGGGUCGAAGUGCAAAUACUUCAAAUGGGUCGAUACGAAAUUCUCUCAUUGAGCCACAGAAGUGAUAGUGGAUCUACUUGAUAAAAGACAUCAAUCUUCAUCUAUGUUCGUGGACAACUUGGACGAUGUUGACUCAAUGCAAGCUCAAUCGUCUUUGGCUAAACUUUUCAAGAAUGAAGUUUCAAGGAUGAAUAUUGAACGGAAGUGUUAUCAAGCGUUUAUUAUGAUGUUGUUUUGUUAUAUAUUAUACUUUAUGAUGAAAUGUAAAGCACUUGAAGAUGAGAAAAAGUUUCUCCGACUACCAUAGUUAAAAAUGAAUGGAGAAAUGUAAUUGUUUUGGAUUAAAUGUAGGCUUUUUUUCUUUUUGAAAGAUGAGAAGAAGUUUGUGUUGUUCCACAAGAUCAUUAUUUCUUUGUUGUUGUUUAUGCUGUUAUAUGUAUUAUGAGUUACUUCUUAUGUUUGUAAGGAGGUUAAGGAAAGGGAAUGAGUGAAUUUGAUGCUGCUUGUACUGUGUUGUUGCUUGUUCUUGAAUAUAAACCAAUAAUGAUGGAUGUGUAUUGGGUCAAUGUGUUAUGAAUAUAAACGUAAACUAGCAGCAAAUAUUAGAAUUGAAUGGAGUUGCCAUAAGUUAAAUUAUCAUCACCUUCUCUGUUUUGCUGCAAACCAGCAUAUACAUAAGACAAACACGAGUGAUUACCUGAGUGUCAUAAGUUGUAUUUAGUAAUCACUUGAGUGUUAGUCGCGAUGAAAAAAUGAUCACUUAAGUGUCAUGUUAUUAUUAAAGUGAUCACUUAAGUGUCACACGUAAUUAAAAAUGAACACUUAAGUGCCACUUUUUUUUUUUUUUGAAAAGUGGGACACUUAAGUGCCAAUUUUUUGUAGGUUUUCUUUAAAAAUUACGCCGGCUACCACCACACUGCACACUUGCACCAGGUGCAGCAUAAGCUCCCAACCCCACCACAAACCCAUAACCACCAGGCAUCACCAGUUACCACCACUAGCUACACCAUCACCCCAACCACCACAUUAGUGUAAAUGCUAGUACGAGUACCUAGAGGGAGGUGAAUAGGUGCGAAAACAAAUUUUGUAGAGUAAAGUAUAAAAUUUUACUUUUAACUCGAAUCUAUUUAGCAAUAGACUUUGAAAAUGAAAUUAGACUCUAAUAAUCAAAUAGAGUUACGAUCAAAGUAAAAGAGUUUAGGGAAGAGAAUAAGAGCACAAGGUUUAUAGUGGUUCGGCUUAAUCCAAGCUUACGUCCAUUCUCCCGCACUGACAGCCCACCGACUGGAUUCCACUAAGAAUCAAAAGAGUUGUUACAGUAUCACUUCCUUGAUUCUAUAGUGUAGAGACUCUGCUACACUUCCUCAAGGCUUCACAAAUGUAUAAACUCUCUUUUGAGUACAAGUUUACGCUCAACAAAUGAAUUGACAAAGAACAAUGAGCUUCAGACUUUGGAAUUUAUCUAUCGCGCACUUCCUCAAAUAACCAGAGCAUCUUCCUUAUAUACUCCUCCAUGCCUUCAUAACCGUUGGCACUUUCCAAAGGAGUUCUUCCAAUCUACCCAUUGGACAGAAUCAAUUAGGGAGAUCUUGAGUUACUUAAGGAAUGUGACGAUAACCCAUCAAUCAUGUUCGCCCAUACAAACAAGAUCCAGGUUUCCAUAAGUAGAACCUUCCAAGUAUGCUGCACUAAUCAACGGAUCCAAAUUACCUGAAUUAAUUUCAAAAUGAAUAAUAGAUUCCGAAAUGCUAUCUCUAGCCAUGAGAUCUUCUUCAACCGCUCGAAUCAAAUCCUUAGAGAAAUACUCAAUUCUGGAUAAGUCUUCUUCGUCAGUCUAGAAUCUGUCAAUGAGGGCAGACUUUGAGUCUUGAGUCUGGCGGUUUGGUAGUCUUCAGACUUGUCAAAAGAGUCUGCAAGUCUUCAGACUAGACUGAUGGAAAGGUUUUGUCAGCUUCAAAACAAAUAAGGAAGUUUUCUCCAACAAUUAGCACUCAGCCACCACUCAAUAGCCACACCAGCACUCCAGCUACCACCACAGACCCAACACCAAGCAUCAAACAGCAGCAAGUAAAAGCAGCACUCUAACAUCACCAUCCACCACCACAAGCCACACCAGCUCUCCAGCUACCACCACAAACCCAACACCAACAGCAGCAAGUAAAAGUAAAAUCCAUAUCUUACAAAAAACAAAAGAAUUUGACAAGCAGCAAGUUCAUUCCAUUGAUAUUGAAAUUAAGUCUCACGAAAUUGUUGAUGAACUAAAGAAAAAAAAAAAAGAUGGUUCCAUAGCAAGUUAGGAAUGACAAAUAUUCCAUUGAUAAAAAUUUACAAAACUAACUCCUAAGCUCCACAAAUCCUUUCACGUCCCAUCUCAUCAAUUAAUAUGCACAACACCCCCUGUUCGUGCUCUUUUUGAUGGGUCUUUCACUUGAUUCAUAAUCCUCGCACUCUUUCUAACUGGACGUGCAACUUCUUCUUCAACCUUCUUAGUAUUCACUGACUCAGAUUGAGCUGCAAAUGUCCCAAGUUGAAUUGAUUCAGAAGAAGGUGCAGUUGCAACUGUCCCAGGCUGAAUUGAUUCAGAUGGACCUGCAACUAGGUUCUUGCCCUUCUUUCUUGUUGGCGCAACUGAUGAUUUCUUUUUCUUCUUUGCUGGUACAGUCGUUGAUUCUUGAGUUGGGCCUUGAGAGAUAAGAACCUCUAAAUUUCUCCCAAGCUACAAAAAAAUAAUAAAUUGUCAGCAAAAAUCUGUAGCAUAUAUUAAAUUAAAUGUAGCCAAUAAAACUUACAUUCAGAAUGAUUGUUCCAGUACACUCAUCUGUAUAAAGGUUAUAGCCAUAUUGUCUUAACCUCUUCCCAAGUGCCCCUCUUGUUUGAAUAGGGGCGUCACUUUCAGGAACUUGUGAUUUGUUGGCUCCUUUUCUUGCUUGUGAUUUCUUUGGCUCUUAUUUUGGCCCUUCAACUACAGUCGGGGCUUCUUCAACUAAUUCUUUAGUUGGGCAUCUUCUAGAUGGCCUUUGUAUAGCUGCCCCUUCAUAUGGCUUUCUUGUAGUUGUCCUUCUAUGUAGCUCUUCAGCUUUAGUGACACCUUCUAUUAGCCCUUCUGGUAGUACUUGUGGUGACCCUUAUAGUGAUUCUUCUGGUGGCCCCUGUGAUGACCCUUGUGGUGGCUCUUGUGAUGGCCCUUCAAUUGGCAAUUGAGCUCCAACUUGCAUUCUUCAAACCUGAGAAAGAGGCAAAAGACAUCAUAAAUAUAACAUCAGGCUAUAUAUAAUAACGUAAAGAAAGAAAAACUGAAUACAGAUUGUUGAAUUUACUGGGUAUUUAUUUCUCUGCUGAAGAACAAUCGACUGAAUUAGCCGUUUAACUGCUUGGGCCAAUCCUUCAGCUGGCCGUCUUCUACCUUGCCUUCUUUGAAUAGGCCCUUCAGUUUCAUGACUUAUUGGGGUUUUCUCGUGACCUGACUAAGACAUUACAUACAAGGCCAAAUAGGAUAUUAUGUACAUAUUUAUGAUAAACCACAAAGCAACAUAAACAUAAAUUUUGUGACUUACUGGGCUUCUGGUUGUCGACUGAAUAGCAGUCGACUCACUUAGCCCUUUUAUUUGCCUUUCUCCAACUGUCCCUUCACUAGGCCCCUUAGUUGGCCUCAACUGUUCUUGUUGCUUUCUCAAUUGACAACCUUUAGUGUUGUGCCCUGCUACGCGACAAUAAGAGCACGUCAUCUUUGCACCUGUCCUGCUCAUUCUUUGCUAACCCGAGACCUCUCCCUCCGCCAUUCUUCAUCUUCAUUUUGGCCUUCCCAUUUUCUUCUUCAGUGGCAAAGGUUGAGAUGCUUCAUGAUCCGUCGACUCCCAAAAGUUGCUACUUCUAAUUGGCUGCAUCAUGAACUGAUACGAAGUAAGGUAUUUCGAUUUUUUGUACCAAUCAUCAAUGUAAUCCUCUACAUUGUGGCCCUUCAACUGGAUGGCACAUAUGGCAUGUGCAUAAGGAAUUCCACUUAGUUUCCAUGCUCUACAUGAACACUUUCUCGUAUCUAGAUGGACAACAUACUUAUUGAAAUUUUUCAUUAUCUCAUAUCCGUCAUCCCCAUUCCAAAUGGGAUGGCAAUUUCUUGGUAAUCCUAGGACUACAUUGUCUAGUCCACUUUGCAGCAUCAUCUCUUUAUUUGUGCAGCUAAGUCAUGACCAUAACUCAUAUAUCUUCAAGCAUUUAGAUGAUUGGUUUGCAUCUGGCAUCUAUUAUCUUUGCAUUAAAUGAUUCACAUAUGUUGUCGUCGAUGUGAUCGCACUUGAAUUCCUCACUGAAGAAUGCCCUGCACUAAUGCUUCGGUUCUGUUUGAAAUAGUGCUGCACAACCUUCCUUUGUCAACUGAAGUAGUCCUUCUUUAGCUAUUGUAAAGUCAGUCAUGUUCGUACUCUUUGCUAAUUGCCAAAAUUGCAACUACAGCUUAUCCCCUUUGUAGGUCUUUGCCCAAUUCCCGUAUAUGUGCCAUGCACGCAUUCGAUGUUCAGCAUGGGGCAACAACUCGGCUACUACUGGAACCAAUCCCUACAAUAAUUCAAAGUAAGAAAUGUAAGCAAAUAACAUGUUAAUAUUACAAAGCAAACAAUUAACUACAUUUUUCAAAAAGCAAGCAUUACCUUUUGUUGGUCGCUCAUGAACGCCUACCCUUCCAUGUUUGUUAUCUCUAAGUCAGCCAUCAGAUUUUUCAAGAACUAGGACCAAUUGUCCUUAUUCUCAAUCCUUACAACAGCCCAAGCUAGUGGGAACAUUUGGUUAUUCGCAUCUCUUCCAAUCGCCGCCAACAAUUCUCCCUUGCACAAGCCCUUCAAAAAACAGCCGUUCAAUCCUAUAAUCCAUCUACAACCAGCUAAAAAUCCCUGUCUGCAUGCAUCAAAACACACAUAGAACUUGUCGAACUUUGUCCCACUAUCAGGAAGCGGCCUCUCCACCACCUCUACAUACACUACUUGAAGGGUUUUGCAGCCUACACUCCCAAGCUCCCACACCUGCCCAUAUUCCUUGCCAUACUGACCAAUAAGUAUCUUUAUCACCUUUUGCUUUGCUCUUUUGCAUUGAUUCCUAGAUACAUUGAUGCCUACAUGCUCCUUCACCAGCAUCCUAAAGUCGGUACUUUUCAUCUCGAGCAUCAGCUUGAUCAGAUCAAAGAAGUGCUUGGACAACCAUGCACCCGUUACCCUUUUGUUUUGAAAAUUAAUGGAACAAGUGUGUUCCUCUUGGUAGGCUUUAAUCUGGAAAGACCCACUCCUUUUAACAAAUGCGCUGUAAAUCUUCCAUGGACAAUUUUUCUGCGAACACUUAGCUCUAACAAAGUUCUUAGUGUUUCUAAUGAAGUCAAUAUUUCUUUGUGCAGCAAUGGAAUUCUUCAGCAUAGCUUCCCUAAAUUGUUUUGCAUCUUGGAAUUUCAUACCUACUGACAAAGUAGGAGAGGCAAUGGAUGGAUUAUAGGAAAGAAACUUACUUUUCCUUCUAUGCACAGCUCCUUGAUCUUCUUCAAGCUCGUCCUGGCAAGUAGCAGUCUUAAUGCUUUCUUUAUAAUCUAUCUCCUGGCCACUAACACCAGUAACAUUUGCAGGGCCUUCGUCUCUGUUUGGAACUUCAUCAACUACUUGCAAAGUUACAAAUCUAUUUGACAAAAAGUCCCUUUGUUUUUUCCUUGACUAUGUAAGCUCCUCGUCGUCAUCGUCACUAAAGAUCAAGAAAUUUUCAGCAGCCAACCCUUCAUCGUUAUUAUCACCAUCACUAGAUUCAGCUACUUCCCAAUUUAAUUCAGUGAUGGUGACAUCACCUAUGUUACCAUCACUCUGGUGAACAGCAUCUACGCCCCUCUCCUCCCUGUCUUAUCUAUCAUGCCCUUCUUCAUCCCUAAUCUCAGUACUAGCUUGAAUAUCAUCUCCUCCUUCUCUUACUUGGAUACUAUCUCUGUCAUCAUUUUCAUCUUCACUAUCACUAUUUAUUCAACAUAUACUUUUGCAUCUUUGCCAUGAAGAUAAUGAUAUAUGACAUCCCUAAAACCAUUAUCAUCUUCUAAAGGUCUCAAACCAUCUCUCAAGCAUUUCCCAAGAACACAAUACAGCAACUUUUGUACUUUACAAGGCAAAUAUGUCACUAUAUCGUAACAAAUCCAAUAUAAGAUGCCUUCUUUAUAUCUACAAAGAUAGUACCCUCAUUCCCCCCUCAUACUCCCACUCAUCCUCCCUAAUCGCAAAAUCCCUAUUGUAGCAAACAAUGACAGCAAUAUAGUCCUUAUCAUGAGCCAUUUCUGCAACAAAAGAGGAAAAAAAUACAAUUAACUUUUGGGACCACAUUCACAAAGGACAACAGACAAUUGCAUGUGGAGGUCCCUACACUCUUUAUUAAAGAAAAGAUAAGAAAUAAGGAAAAUAUGCAAUAUUCGGAAUGACAACUACUUUGAUUGGAAAGAUGCCCUCAGGACAAAUAGAGGUCCCCACCCGACAUACAGCUACUUUGAUUAUGUCGCAUUCCCUUAAAAUAUGAAGAGGUCCCCUAGAUAAGAUGGGUCCUCAUAACACUGAUUUCAACACUGCAAUUUUAAAAAAAAAUGCCUAGAGGUCCCCACUUGAACCCUAAUAAUCACUAUCACACAUCACAUUUCACAUCCGACCCCUACAAAUUACUUUCGCACAUCACAAUUCCACAUCCGAGCCCUAAAUCACACAUCACAAUACCUAGCACCACAUAUGAGCCUUAAUUUUCCCCCCGCCAAGCCCUACGCCGAGCCCUACAUUUCGAGGCCGAUCCUAAACUGUCAAUCUGAACCCCCAAAAGGGUUUUAGCACCAUAUCUUAGCCCUAAAUCUCACAUUAAUACCAUUCCAAGAUUUCCCAACCGACCCCCAAAUUUCAAAUUGGAGCCCUAAUAAACGAGUCAAAGCCCUAAUUUUACCACAGGGGAGAGGAAGAAGAGAACAAACCUGAGCGAGCGAUAAUGGCGAGGGACGACGACGAGUGACGAUAGUGAGCAACGAUGAUGCACAAUGACCUACGAACGGUGAGCUGUGAACGGCGAUGGAGAGGACGUCAGAUCUAGUGUGAACGCGAGCGACGACCGAUUAAACCCUAAAUAAGAAAAACGACAUCAUUUAGCACUAAGGAAAAACGACGUCGUUUAGCUUGGUCAAGGCAGAGUAGAUGGGGCGACAUCGUUUUCCUCCUCCACGUGUGCUUAAUUUAAAAAAAAAAUGCCACGUCAGUUAAGCAUGUCGCCGGAAAAUGCCACGUCUGCAUUUUGGCCGAAUUUUGGCUAGAUUGACACUUAAGUGAUCCAUUUUGCUCUGAUUUUGGCACUUAAGUGUCACUUUCCAAACUUUUGGCACUUAAGUGUCCCUCCGUGCCAAGUUUUGGCACUUCAGGUAUCUGCAACUCGAUCAUAUUAUGAUGUGACUUGAUGAUAGGCACAUUCACAACAUCCUCCACUUUAAAACAGAUGGAGGCUACAUGAUCAGACCAAAAGUCAGCAUUGUUUGGUUCCUGCAAUUGCCUAAGCUAGUUGCCUUCUCAUUCCUUUUCCCACUUUAUGGUCUCACCCAUAUUGUUUGUAUAUGACAAAAUAGGUCAUUAUGUCUCUUGGCAGUUGACAAGUCAAAACAUAUUUAAAGAGUAACUCUUAACUUUUUUAUGUACCAACUUUGCAUAGAGUAAAUUGUUCCCCUAAAGAACUGUAAAGUAUUAUUCCUGGAGGUUAAUUGUCUCUAAAAAUUACACUGAAAAACAGUACAUGUGAACUUGACUUAAUUGUGUCUAAAUGACAUCCAAAGAAAAAUCAUGUAUGAAAGAGUAACUAUAUUCAUAAGUGGUCCCUUACCAAGUACAAUGAAUAAAAAGAACGUAAACAAUAGGGGUUCUUACUGUGGAUAUCCACGGAUGAGUGACAUAACCACACAAUGUUGUGCGCAAAUUGCACAACCCCAAGAUCUCCAUAACUAUAACAAUAAUAUGUAUAAUUGAGUAGAAAGAUUAACGUACAUGUUUUAGGAUCUAUUGUUUUUGAAGCAGAAACGAAAACACAAUGUUCCAUGCACAAGUCCUUCUCCUCUAUUGCCCUCCGUAUCACUGGCUCAAUGAGGCGGCCCCCUCACGUUUAGCAUUAAGUAAACACUCCUUAGGUGAGGAUAUAUGUGAGAAUUAGGGUUAGAGGAGAUACUUGAGCACUAUUUAUAGAGUUUCCAGCUAGGCCCCCUCAUUACGGGCCAAGCUCAACUCGACCCACACUAGUCAACCCCAUAUUAGACUAAUUAAUAAACAUUCUAUCUCACUUUAGACCAGCCUUAUUUUACGGUAACCGUAAAAACAGUAAAUUACAAUAUCAAUUAAUGUAGUCAACAUUAGGAAAACUCUUACAUUCUCUCACUUGGACUAUAUUAAUUGAAAUCGUACCGUAUGUGCGCACAUUGGUCCAGAGAUAAUUCUUAAUAGUCAAUCAUAUCCCAUAAAGUCUCAAACAUCGAAUCAUGGCGAUAACUACAUGUAUACACACAGAGCCUUCCAUGGUCACGAGUGCUCUCAACUUUAUCGAUAUGGAUUCAAUAUGGUAGUGUGGCAAAUGGAUAACAUCUCUCAUAGAGAGACUCCAUUUGUCAGUCACAAUUCUCUUACCUUAGGCAACACAAAAAAAACUUGUGCCACUAGAGAAUGCUUUAUGAUUCCAAUGAAUCCACAUAUGUCUUGUCCGUACGUUUAACAUUUCUUUAUGUAUCACAAGACAUAUGCACAAGGCUAAUAACCGGAUGCCCCUAGCCUUCACUCAAGGAUUAAGCAAUACCUUGAGACUUUCAACAAUAUAUAUAUUCAACAUAAUAACAAUCCAUUCAAAAAUAUUUAUUAAAUGCAAAAGUUGACAUAUAUAUAUAUAUAUAUAUAUAUAUAUAUAUCAAAGUGUUACUAAAUUGUAACAAAACAGAUGUAAACUUUAUUCAAAGAAAAAUAAAACACAGCUCCCACUAAAUAACAGCAUCUCAAGAUGCUCCUAGGCUCAUACUAAUGACAUGUCGAUCAAAUAAACACGGGCGUAGGCCUUUAGUUAAUGGAUCUGCAAUCAUAUCAUCUGUACCGAUUCCUUUAUAGUCAAAAACUUGACCUCCAUAUGUUUAGACCCCUUAAGACUUCUGUUGUUAUUAAUAAACAACACUGCAGAGUUAUUGUCACAAUGUUGCUGUAUGGGUCUAUCCACAAAAUCAAAAACUGAUAACUCCCUAAUGAGGUUCCGGAGUCAAAUAACUUGAGUAGCCGCUGAAAAACAUGCUACAAACUCCGAUUGCAUGGUAGAAGAAGAUAUAGAUUUCUGUUUUUCGCUCUUCCAUGAUACUGCACCUCCUACUAACAUAAAUAUGUAUCAUGUUGUUGACUUCAUAUCAUCUUGACAAUCAGCAAAAUCUGCAUCUGAAUACCCUGCUAGUUGCAAGUCUGGAACAUGUUUAUAAAUCAUCAUUUAAUCUCUUGUUCUCUUUAAGUACCUUAAAACAUUCUUGGCAGCAACCCAGUGAUCGCGUCCUAGAUUAGACUGAUAUCUGCCUAGAAGCCCUGUUGCAAAUGCAAUAUCUGGCCUAGUGCAAACUUGAACAUACAUGAUACUUCCCAGCACACUAGCAUAAAGUACAUUCUUCAUUUGAGCUUUCUCAAAAUCUGAAUUAGGGUAUUGUGAAAGACUCAAUUUAUCACACUUAACAAUGGGAGCAAUUCGUGGUUUGCAAUCUUGCAUACUGAAUCUUUCUAAAAUGCGAUCAAUAUAUGCCCUCUGAGACAAACCCAAUAAACGGUGUGAACGAUCCCUAAGGAUCUCAAUGCCAAGAACAUAAGAUGCAUCACCAAGGUCUUUCAUAUCAAAAAAUUUCGAUAACAUCCACUUUGUCUCAUGUAGUAAACCAAUGUCACUACUAGCAAGCAAGAUAUCAUCUACAUAAAGUAUGAGAAAAAUAUAUUUCCUCCCAUUGACCUUGGUGUAUAUACACUGAUCUACUUUGUUUUCAAUAAAUCCGAAUGAAGUGACAACACUAUGAAACUUGAAAUACCACUGUUUAGAAGCUUGCUUAAGGCCAUAAAUAGACUUUUUCAAUCUACAAACAAGCUUACCUAAGUCAUCUGCUGCAAAACCUUCAGGCUGCACCAUAUAAACCUCCUCAUCAAGGUCUCCAUUUAGAAAAACAGUCUUAACAUCCAUCUGCUGUAACUCCAUAUUGAAAUGAGCUACCAAUGCCAAGAUCACUCUAAUGGAAUCUUUAGAAGAAACUGGAGAAAAUGUUGCUUCAUAAUCUAUUCCUUCUCUUUGAGUGAAACCCUUAGCUACCAGUCUGGCUUUAAACUUUUCAAUCUUUCCUUUGGAAUCCCUUUUAGUCUUGAAUACCCAUUUGCAGCCAAUAGGUUUACAACCUUCAGGCAAUUCAACAAGCUCCCAAACACCAUUGUGUUUCAUAGAUUGCAUCUCAUCUUUCAUCGCAUCUAGCCACAAAUCUAAUUGAGGACAUGAUGCAGCCCACAUUGAAGACCGGCUCUCUCGACCAAGAAGAUCGGCCCACAUUAAAGCUCGACGAAACCGAGAAGCCAGAACGACAUCUUGAGUCCAUCCCGGAAGCUUGAAAGACACCUUCAAAGCUCACGUGAUGCUUUUACUAGUUUAUAGUUUCCAUGCCCUUUACUAUAUCUCCUAUUUUCAAUGCUCCGUUUUUAUUUCUCCUAGUUUUCAACGCUUUCUCUUUAUUUCUCCUAGUUUCAACAUUCUGUUUUUAUUUCUUUGAUGAUAUAAGCCAAUCCCUUGUAGAAGACAGACAGCUUUUGAUGAAUGAAAGAAAACUUUGCUUGAAGCAAUUAUCGUGAACCUUGUAGAGUUCAUCUCCUUGAAAACCUAGAAGAGUUUUCACUCCGUCCUUGAAGAGUCGGAGCUUUCGAAAUCUGCAUCCUUGAAGAGUUGCAUUCAUCGAUCUAGAAGAAUCGGUGCCCCCCUCAACUUCCUUGGAGGCCUAGAAGAGCAACCAACAGAGUGUCUAUCUGUUUUUGUUCUGUUCGUUACUUCCAACCCAAUUUCGACUAUCCUACAGUGCUUAUUUCAGAAAACCCAAAACAGAGAAAUUGUAGAUCCAGAAGUCUUUGUUCAUUUGGUAUUGGAAUCGGGUUGAUCCGAUCUGUAUCGACAAAGAUACGACUGCUCUCCUGAGCUUGCGCAGUGCUGAAAUUUCUGUUCGUCCCCUUUCUUGUGCGCGAGUCACUCUCCCGAUCCUAUUGUUUGAGAAAGCCUCCCCUAGGCUUGCAUCAUUUGGUAUCAGAGCUUUGGAGGAGAGGACAAUGCCUCCAAGACAAGCUAGGCGUCGUGGCGACAGAACCCUUCCCCUCAAUGAAUUGCACACACUCGCUGAGAAUAUGCAACAACAAAUUGAUGAAUUGACGCAAGAAGUUCAGCGUUUGAGGGCUGAAGCAAAUAAUUCUCCACCCCGUUCCAGGACUGAAGAUUCCCAUGGUGACUCUUCCUCUUCGGAGAGUGUUCAAUCUAUUCACGGUCGGAGGCAUGUUCGACAUCGUUUACAACAUAUUCGUGAGCCAGAUUGGGAAAAGGAAAUCAAGAAAGAUGUUCCAGAAUUUACAGGUAAUGAGUCUCCUGAUGAAAUUGUUGAUUGGCUAACACUUGUGAAUGAGGUGUUUGAGCAUCGAAAUAUUCCGAAGAAUUGUCGCGUUGGGAUCAUUGCUAUGCGAUUCCGAGGCAAGGCGAUUGCUUGGUGGAGACGUGAAAAACAAACUCGCCAAGCCGUUGGCAAAGCACCAGUCACUUCGUGGAGAAAGAUGGAGGGCAAGAUUCAAAAAUAUUUUCUCCCCAAAGGAUAUAAGAGAGAGCUCUACCAACGGUACCAAAAUCUAACACAAGGUACACGAACGGUGGACCAAUACACCAAUGAAUUCAAUGAGUUGGUGAUUCGUAACAAUAUCCAGGACCCAGAGGAUGUGCUUGUGAACAAAUACUUGAACAGUCUUCAAUUUUACAUUCAAGACGCCUUGGAAGUCCUCGACAUUUGGGACUUAGGAGAUGCACACCAACGGGCACUCAAAAUGGAGCGCUCUCAUUCUCGAAGACAGCAAUCUGCUAGUAAGCCUUCUACUCAACCUCAUGUUUCGAAGCAACCUGCUACAUCCGAAAUACGUUGCUAUUCUUGUGGGGAGUUGGGUCAUCGUGCUAGAAAUUGUCGAAUCAAUAAGAAUCGACCAGCCGGUAAAGCCUUCUUGGUGGAUAAUGAUUCUAACGAGAAUGCUGAGGAUCCACUUGAAGAGGAGUUGAAAAAUGAUGAAGAAGCUGCGGAUGAUGAACAAAUAGUGCAUGCUGACACUGGCGAACUUCUUAUGGUGAGGAAAAUUUUUCCUACUCCUCGAGAUGACACUGGAGAUAGGUGGCUACGUACCAAUAUUUUCCAUUCUGCUUGCACAAUCAUGGGAAAGGUAUGUCAAUUAAUUAUUGACUCUGGUUGUUGUGAGAAUAUAAUUUAUGAAGUAGCGGCAAACAAGCUGAAGUUGGAAUUAAAAGCGUACCCUACGCCUUAUAAAAUGUUGUGGUUGAAGAUAGGUGCUGAGGUAACUGUUUCAAAACGAUGCCUUGUUAAUCUAUCCAUUGGUUCUGUUUAUAGUGACAAAAUACGGUGUGAUGUUCUGCCGAUGGAUGCUAGUCACAUUAUUCUUGGUCGACCAUGGCAAUUCGAUAAGAGGACUAUGCAUGAUGGUUAUCGAAAUACAUAUUCUUUUGAAUUUGGAGGCAAGAAGAUUAUGUUGGAACCUAGUAGGGUGGGAGAUUCUUCUGAUGAUGAUGGCAAGAAUUCGAGGACGAAUUCUUUUAAAGAUGGGGAGGAUGAUGCAGCCCACAUUGAAGACCGGCUCUCUCGACCAAGAAGAUCGGCCUGCAUUAAAGCUCGACGAAACCGAGAAGCCAUAACGACAUCUUGAGUCCAUCCCGGAAGCUUGAAAGACACCUUCAAAGCUCACGUGAUGCUUUUACUAGUUUAUAGUUUCCAUGCCCUUUACUAUAUCUCCUAUUUUCAAUGCUCCGUUUUUAUUUCUCCUAGUUUUCAACGCUUUGUCUUUAUUUCUCCUAGUUUCAACGUUAUGUUUUAUUUCUUUAAUGAUAUAAGCCAAUCCCUUGUAGAAGACAGACAGCUUUUGAUGAAUGAAAGAAAACUUUGCUUGAAGCAAUUAUCGUGAACCUUAUAGAGUUCAUCUCCUUGAAAACCUAGAAGAGUUUUCACUCCGUCCUUGAAGAGUCGGAGCUUUCGAAAUCUGCAUCCUUGAAGAGUUGCAGUUAUCGAUCUAGAAGAAUCGGUGCCCCCCUCAACUUCCUUGGAGGCCUAGAAGAGCAACCAACGGAGUGUCUAUCUGUUUCUGUUCUGUUCGUUACUUCCAACCCAAUUUCGACUAUCCUACAGUGCUUAUUUCAGAAAACCCAAAACAGAGAAAUCGUAGAUCCAGAAGUCUUUGUUCAUUUGGUAUUGGAAUCGGGUUGAUCUGAUCUGUAUCGACAAAGAUAUGACUGUUCUCCUGAGCUUGCGCAGUGCUGAAAUUUCUGUUCGUCCCCUUUCUUGUGCGCGAGUCACUCUCCCGAUCCUAUUGUUUGAGAAAGCCUCCCCUAGGCUUGCAUCAGGACAUGAGAUGACAUCCAUAUAAGUUACCGAAUCAAUAACACAACCAAUAUCAUAAUCAUGCUCUCCUAGGUAGACAACAUAGUCUAGUGGUAUAGCUGAACGUCUUUCUCUAGUUGAUCUUCUGAGUGGAGCUUCUUCGACCUCAUUCUGAAUUUGAGGGGCUUGAGGAAUUUCAUUAGGAAAUGUCUCAACAAUAGGAUCCUGAGCCAUAACAGGGUCACUUUGUGGCGCAGGAAGCUCUAUAUUUGUCUGCAUAGGAUGAGACAAGGAUCUAGUAAUCCCCACCAUACUAUCAUCUUCAAUAGCUUGUAAGCAGCUAUCAUUUUCAGCUACAUCAAAUUCCAGAAAUUUUGCAGUUUGAGAUUCCACAAUUCUUGUACCUCCAUUAGAGUUAUAAAAUCUUUACCCCUUUGAAUGAUCUGGAUAAGACACGAAGUAACACCGAGUAGUUUUGGAAUUCAGCUUACUCAAUGUUGGAUUAUAUAACUUCACUUCUACUGGACAUCCCCAAACUUUAAGAUGAUUCAAGCUAGGUUUACGUCCAAUCCACAACUCAAAAGGAGUCAGUGGAACCGCUUUAGUAGAAACACGAUUUAGAAUAUAAAGAGUUGUUUUCAAAGCUUCACCCCAUAGAAAAUUAGGUAAAUUGGUCCUACUAAUCAUACUUCUCAUCAUGUCCAUAAGAGUACGAUUGCGCCUUUCAGCUACACCAUUUUGUUCAGGACUUCCGGGCAUAGUAAACUGACCUAUUAUCCUAGAAUCCUCUAAGUAUUUAGCAAACCACCCUUUAAGUUGUCCAGCAUCACCGUGCUUACCAAAAUACUUAUCACCACGAUCAAAUCUGACAAUCUUUAUAACUUUUCCCAACUGUUUCUCAACUUCAGUCCGAAAAAUCUUGAAUUUAUCAAGAGACUCAGACUUUUCUUUAAUCAAGUAUAAGUAUCCAUAUCAGGAAUAGUCGUCAAUAAAUGUGAUGAAACAAAAAUUUAUGCACAAAGUAGCCGUGUAUGGUCCACUAAUAUUAGUGUGAAUAACCUCCAACAAGUCUGAACUUCAUACAACGGAUUUCUUCUUUAUCUUAGUCAUCUUACCUCUACAACAGUCUACGCAAGUCUAUUAAUCACCUUUAAGAGUAGGCAAGAUGUCAGCCUUUAAAAGCCUUUCUACUCUUUCUUUAGAGAUGUGACCAAGACAUUUAUGCCACAACGCAUAAGAUUGUUCCUUAGGUAGAGGCCUUUUGGAAACACCUUUUUCAGCUGAAUAAGCAACGUACAUGUCGUUGGGAGAUAAACUCAAUCGAUAUAAUCCAUCGGAUAAAUUGCAACACCCAAUCUUAUUUGAAUCAUAAAACAUGGAAAUAGUACUACUCUUUAUUUCAAAAGAGUAUCCACACAUGUCCAAACAAGACACAUAAACUAAAUUCCGCCUAAAAGAAGGUAUGUAAAAAGUGUUUCUUAACACCAUUUGAAAACCAAAAUCUAAAAUCAAAAUAACAUCUCCCACGAACUCGACGUCAACUCCAACGCUGUUUCUAACAGUGAGCUUUGAUUCAUCCUGAUUUGGCGUCCUUCGAUUUAUGAACCCAUGUAUGGUAAAUGCAACAUGAUUAGUUGCACCACUAUCUAGCCACUAGGAAUUGGUCGGAACUUCAGAUAGAUUGGAUUCAUAAACAAAUGCCAAAGAAUCAUUACUUUUAGGCUCACUCUUGGUUCUCUUAGAAAACCAAAUCUUAAACUUGUUGCAGCAUUUCUUUACAUGUCCUCUCUCUCUACAAAAGUAGCAAUAAACACCAUCCUUCUUGGUGAAUGCUUUCUUGGAACCCAAACUGUUAGAAGGUCCAGCACCUUCAGAAUUUCCUUUAUUGUUGGAAGGUCCAGCAACUUCAAAAUUGCCCUUAUGAGUAUAAUUUCUCACCUUCUUACCAUUAUCACCGCCAGAAUUAGAAGCAUAAAGUGCAAUGUGCCCUUUAUCUUUCUUCAAUUUUUCUUCCUCUACCACCAGCCUUGCAAUUAGGUCAUUAACUGACUAGGUUUUAUCUUGGGAACUAUAAUUGGUCUUGAUAAUCCCAAAAUCAGGAGGAAGAUUAUUUAGAGUUUUAUGCACAAUGCAAGCAGUGGGAAUAACAACAUUAAGAGCCUCAAGCUUUGUCUGCAAAUCUACCAUUCUCAUAACAUAAUCUCUAACUCCACUAGAACCAUCAUACUUCAUAGUAAAUAGUGUUUGCAGGUGUGUUCCUAUCUCAGCAUUAGGCGACACACGGUUUCUAGCCAUCAAGGCUUCCAUCAUCUGCCUAGCAAUGUAGUCUACAGGUAAACCACUUUUCAAGUGUUCCUGAAUGGAACACUUCAUCGAUAGUAAGCAAAUUCUAUUACUCAUUUCCCAUGCAGUAAAAUGAGCUUUCUGAGCUUCUGUAUUCUCGGCAGUAAGACUUGCCGGCCGAUCGACAGUAAAAGCCAUAUGAACAUUUGCCAUCUCCAUAACAAACAGAAAAUCUUCUCUCAAUUUCUUAAAGUUUGAACCAGCAAGAACCUCAAUAGUGAUGGAGUUACCGUUUACAGAAAAAGUGACUGAAAAACAAGCAGUGUAUUUAUAAUUAGCAUCAUGUGAGCAUUGUGUAACUUGACACACAAGUACACAUCCAAAGAGUUACAUGCAAAAUCACAUAAUCACAUUUUCGCAUAAUACAUGACAUGCAAUUGUACACUCCCCACAUGAUAGAGGUAUGAGAAUAUAUUUCAAUCUUCGUGAAUUCAUCGCCUUUGGGCAUAUGAAGCAUUAGGAUCAGUCACUCCUCUACCACACCAUCAUGUAUCCCUCCAUGAACUAAUACACAAUCACCUCCUUUAGGAGUAUAACUAUGCAUUAGACCAGGAGACAUCCCAAUCAAUAUACGAGAUUGAAAUUUCUCAAACCCAAUCAAAUGUACUACUUUGGCGAUCACGACUCAAUUGAAUCCUUGAAACUCUCUCAUACCAAGGAUAUAAUCUUUACAUCUCACAUACACCAUAUACAUGUAAUUUUAACUUUAGUGAUAGGGGCAUCAUAUCACUAAAAUCACAUGACAUGCUAAUUACACUGCCUUAUUCAUUAAAAAAAUACAAUAAAAUUUAAUUUUUAUUAAUGAAUCACCUUUUAUAAUGUUUAUGUGAUAACAUACCAGUAACCCAACACAUGUAUUUCCAAAAAACAUAGAAAAUACAAGAAAAAUAUGCAAAAAUACACUAAAAAUAUGUGUAUUCAGGGCUUUGCAUAUAUUUUCAUAUCCAUAAAAUUAUCAAACAUGUAAAAUAAAUAUACCACAACAUAGAGGAUGAACAUACGAGUCCAUCACCACCGGCCACGCACCGAUCUGAGCUUCCACGCGCCUGCACGUGUCGCCUGAGUGUAAUGCGAGUGGAGCUCACACACUAGUGUCAAUGGCCAAUCAAACCGAUCCGACCGUCCGGUCCAGCCACCUCGGUCCAACCAGUUGACUGGGUCGGGUCAGGUCAACGGGUCGGGUCGGGUCAGGUCCUAGGUCGAGUCGAGUCGAGUCGGUCGCCAAUCGGGUUAGAUCGGAUCCAGGCUGUUGACGUCAUCGUGACAUCAGCACCCACGUGCUUCGCACGCGCGAGCCGUGCCCUGCGCGUGGGAGUGCAUGAGGGCGUGUGACCAUGUGUGGGGCGCAUGCUCGACGCCCAGGCAACGUGUGGCCGCGCGUGGGGGCACGGGGGGCCUCCCUCAGUGACGCGCUGCCCACGGUUUUGCUCGUCUCACCAAGCCUAGUCCGAAUAUAUAAUUUAACUCUAUUUUUAUUUUACAAAAAAUUCUCGAAAAUCUCAAAUUAUGGCAAAAUCCUUUGUGUUCGUGUUCUAGGGUUAUGGAGGCUCCGAUACUACAUGUGCGCAAAUUGCACAACCCCAAGAUCUCCAUAACUAGAACAAGAACAUGUAUAAAUGAGCAGAAAGAUUAACGCACCUGUUUUGGGAUCCAUUGUUCUUGAAGCGGAAGCGGAAACACAAUGUUCAAUGCGCAAGUCCUUCUCCUCUAUUGCUCUUCAUAUCACUGACUCAAUGAGGCGGCCCCCUCACGUUUAGCGUUAGGUAAACGCUCCUUAGGUGAGGAUAUAUGUGAGAAUUAAGGUUAGAGGAGAGACUUGAGCACUAUUUAUAGAGUUUCCAGCUAGGCCCCCUCAUUACGGGCCAGGCUCAACACGACCCACACUAGCCAGCCCCAUAUUAGACUAAUUAAUAAACCUUCUAUCUUACCUUAGACCAGCCAUGUUUUACGGUAGCCAUAAAUACAGUAAAUUACAAUAUCAAUUAAUGUAGUCCACAUUAAGAAAAUUCUUACACACAAUGCCUAUUACACUCCAUAGCAUUAGGGACUGGAAAACCAUGCUCUUCCAAUGCCUACAAAGUGAAGCAACUUCGUCCAGUUCGAUGCUAAUCAUCAAUAUCAAAAGGAAGAGCUAAUGAAUGCAGAGAAAAGCAAGGACAUACAUUCAUAAAAGAAAAUUCUUUAAGUGCAACAAGUCUUGACAAAUAGAGCCAAUUAUGACUUCUUCGAUGCCUCAAGUAAUCAUGCUUGGAUUUAACUGCCCUAAAAGUUCUACCAACUCUGUGUAGCUUUAUAGCAAGGAUGGAACCAUCCUCCUUGGCAACCUCAAAGAUAUCUUGCAACAACAUAGACCAUCAUUGCAAAUUAUUAGGAUUUCAUUUUCAUCAUCUAUAACCUAAAGUAGUACAAGUCCGAGGGAUCAAAUUUCCAUAAAGCAGAAUCUGACAGGAAUUAACACGAAGGCAAAAACUUUGAAAAUGAUGUUACCAGACUCCUUCCUGACCCCAAUUUGACGACCAACGGCAGUAAAAACUCCAGGAUUAACCAUGGUCUUGAUUGCAAGAAAUUAUAACCAAGGUAGGUGAGACGAAACCCAUCAUCUAUGUCCAGCAAAGAAGAAAAAUUAGAAACAAUGGGAAUCCAAGGGACAGAGUCUCGAGAGUUCUCAUAUGGCUACUUACAUUUGGAAGAGUCAUGGUGUACCAAUUUGUGCUUAAGCAAGUUCUUCAAAACUUUGUACGUACCGCCAUGCCUAAGAAAGAUGUCGGAAAUUGAAAUGCCAGGAUAUAGAAAAAACAAUAAUAAAAGAGUUUUUCUGGAACAGAAGGGACGAUUUCAUGCUAACAAAAAAGAAAACAUGUAUAGAUCGGUGACAUGUAAUGGAAUGACCAACCUCUAAUGAACAAGAAUUCUAACUAUUGUGCCUUUCAUGGAUUUGCAUCUCUUCUUCAUGGGCAAUAAGCUCUUUGAGAGCAAGCACAACACCAAGCUUUUCUGGAAUGGAUUCCUAAUUUUUUCCCCUUCGUUUUUGAGGAACAACAUUUUUUUAUCCUAAUGGUCUACCAUGCUUCAAGGGUGGGGGGUUUUAAUCCAUUUUAGCAUGUCCUUCAGGAACAACUAUUCUAGCUGGAACAUUUGCAGAUGGAAUAUAAGACUUCAUUACCUUAGUAGCAUCAUUAAAUGCAUAAGCAAAUCUAUUGACCAUAGCUUGUAAAUGGAUUAUGCAUUGCACCUCGUUUUCCCACUCAAGAGUCAUUCGGUCUAAUUGAGAUAAAUUUUUCUUAUUCCAUGAGAAAACCUUAACUGAUUUUUGCUUUGCAGUCGUGGAAGUUGUUGGUGUCCCAAUUGAUGGAAACAUAAUCUCAUUGAAAUGACAAUCUGCGAAUCCGGCAGUAAAAAGAUCAGUAGUUGGUUCCAAGAACCUAAUGAUGGACAAUGAAUUAAACCCAAUAUAAAUGCCCAUAUGGUGUUGGGGACCCAUUUUCAUUCUUUUGUUGGUGCUACAGGCACCUAUACUGCACAACCAAAUGUGCAUAAAUAUGAAAUAUUUGGUUCAUAACCAAUAACCAUUUGAAUAGCAUAUUGUAAAAGACUAGUAGUGAGGCGCAAUCUUAUUAGGGCUGCCGCAUGCAAAACUAUAUGACCCCAUGCUGUAUCGUUAAGAUUUAUUCUCAAUAAUAGAGCGCGGGUAAUGAUUUAGAUAUGUUUCAUCAAAGAUUCUACCAAUCCAUUUUAAGUAUGAACAUGUGUGAUUGGGUGCUCAACCUCAAUUCCAAGUGAAGCACAAUAGGUAUCAAAACUUUUUGAUGUAAAUUUACCAUCAUUAUCCAUCCUUAUGCUUUUAAUUGGAUAAUGAGGGAAUUAUGUCCGGAGCUUUAUAAUCUGCACAAGUAAAAGUGCAUAUGUAACAUUGCACAUAGAUAAUAGGCAAACAUGGGAUCAUCUAUAUGAUGCGUCCACUAGUAUUAUAAAAUAUUGAAACGGUCCACUUGGUGGUUGUAUUGGUCUACAAAUAUCAUCUUGAAUUCUUUGCAUGAAUAAAGGGGAUUUGAAAUUAACAUUUAUUAUAGAAGGUUUGAUAAUGGGUUUUCCUUGUGAACAAACUUCACAAUUAUAAUCUUUGGACAAUAAUACAAUUGUAUUCUUUAAAGGGUGUCCUUUUGUAUUAUGAAUUAUUCUACGCAUCAUUGAAGUGACAGGAUGACCAAGGCGAUCAUGCCAUAAUCCAAACCGAUUAGGUUUUACCAAUCUCUAGGAUAUAAUGGCGUAGGUUUCAAUGGCUUUAAUUAUAACACAAUACAAACCCAUAGAAGAAGCUUCUAACUUCUCAUAGAUGGUCUUCAAGCCCUUCUUAUAAUAGGUAAUGCCAAUAUAUUUCUUAUCUUGCUCAUAAAUAGUCUCAAUACGGUACCCAUUACGACGUACAUCUUUGAAGCUAAGUAGAUUCCUUUUUGAUCUAUUGCUUAGAAAUUCAUCCUCAAUAUGCAGGAUGGUGUCAUUUGGCAAAACAAUUGUGGCAUUCCCAAAAUUAUCAAUGAUCGGAACAUGACCUGAUAUUGUAUGGAUAUGUGUCUUACGUAAUGUCAUACUUGAGAAAAAGUGUUUACUAAGAAAUAUGGUAUGUGUUGAUGUACUAUCAAAGAAACAAACAUCUUCCUCUUGGUAUUUUCCAUUUACAUUUAUGUUGACAACUUCAGGUGUCAAGUAUCAUAAAAUUUGCAUAUUAGUUAUAAAGUCAAAAAAUAUUCAAAAUAAUAAAUAUUAUAUAAGGUUCAUAAGCAUUUUAUUAUAUAACCACAUUAGAGAACAAUAAAAUGUAAUACAUUUAAAGAAAAGCAACUAGAAAAGAAAUUAUUAGAAUCAUAAAAUUCAAAGUCCAAGUCGUCAUCCACCAAUCUGAUGCCUCAUUAAAGUAAUCAGAAGUCUUCAAAGAAAUCAAAGACAUAUAGAGAUGCAUUUGCUACUUCAAGAGCGAGAGGAGUCCCGCCGACAGAGAUAUUGUUGGCCUCAACAGUAAUUAUGGCAGUAGGAUUGAUUUCAAUGGCAUGAGAUUUGCCAUGCUUGCCCGGAUUUUUUAAAGAUACCUAGUAUAGAUCAACAAAGUGCUUUGACAUACAACAAGUAAUGACUUGUGCAUAGUCAUGUUACAAUGAUGGCAAAUACUUUCAUUAGUCACAUUCUUUGGAUUCUUUUCUUUGUCACAAUUCACGCCAAAGUUAGAUUUCCUAAGACGAUUAAAUUUCUUGACAUCCCUUCUAAGAUUAUGUUCUUGCCGCGCUUAUAGCCCUUAAAAUGGCUAGCAUUUUUUUUAGAGUUAGCAUGUGUUUCAAGCAAUACUUUCGAGCCAGUAGGUCUAAGAUCAUGAUUUUUGAGCAGCAAUUCAUUAGUUUGCUCAGCAAUGAGGAGCACAGAAAUUAAUUCAAAGUUUGUAACAAACUGACGUUGUCAAUAUUGCUGUUGCAAUACAAUAUUCGAAACAUGGAAGGUGGAGAAAGUUUUCAAUAACAGUUUUGCAUCAGUGAGCUUAAUACCGCAUAACUUAAGCCAAAAAACAAUAUUAAAUAAAGUGGAGUUAUAGUCAAACACUGAUUUAAAAUAUUACAAUAUGAGAUUUUGCUAGUCAUAUUGUGCUUGAGGGAGGAUAGCAGUUUUGGCAUAAUCAUACCUAUCCUUCAACCUCUUCCACAAAGUUUGAGGGUCUCGAAUGGAUAAAUAUUGAGUCUGCAAGCUCUCAUGCAAAUGACGACGUAUAAAAAUCAAUGCAUUUGCUUUAUCUUUUGUAUUUGAGGUUCCGACUCCUAUAAUUACAUUAGCGAGACAUUGCCCUUGGAGGUGCAUUUCCAUGUCAAGGCAAUAGGAUAGAUAAUUAUUUCCACUUACUUUCAAAAUGUGAAAUUUGGGCCUUUUAAUAUUUGCCACAAUUCUUGCAAAAAUAAAUCUUUAAAUUAAUUAGAAUGAUUUUCAAAUAUCCACCGUCACUUUAAGAGCAGAAGGAUACUUUUAAAAUUGAAAUUGGUUUCAGGCCAAGAAAAAAAAAUGAAGAAUUGAUAGGAGAAGAUGAAGUAUAAGUUGAUUAAUGAAAACAAAUAGAACACUUACCUUGUAAAAAUCACUUACUCAAUUGAUAGAUCUUCGUGCUAACAACGUGUUGUAAAAUAUCGCGUUGCAGAUAUAAAAUAGAGAGAAUAUAGAGAUUGAGUAGAAAAAGCUAAAGGAGAAAAUUUUAUUUUCACUAUCACUUUUUACUAUGACAAAAACUAAACUCAUAUUUAUAAUAAAACAAUGAUGUACUUAUCAUUAAUGUCAAUAUAUUGAAUAAUACAUAUAUUGGAUAGGGAGAAAAACAUUCAUUGAAUAGAGAUGUGUACUUAGAAUGUAGGAUACAAAUGUACCAUAAUAAGUACAUUAGAUAAGAUAAAUAUAAUAAAUAUCCAUUCAUAUAUUUCAUUCAUUCACAUAUUUCAUAACAACGGCAUUAUUAUAACGUGGAGAAAUGCAUAUCUCUUGAUCUUGGUAAAUUUAACGUCUUUAUACUCACAUUGAACCGGUGCUCUUGACCAUUUCUUCCAAAUCAGUCAAAUUAAUAAUCUCUCUUAAGCUUCCCUCCCCCCUUGUUUCCAUUUUAUUCCAAAGUAAGAUGAAAACAUCAUAAGUGUCAUAACUUUCACAUAGUACUCAACUAUUAAGUGCCAUAACUUCUAUAAAAGAUUCUCUCAAAUGUCAUAACUUUCAAUCGAUCGCUCAAUGCUGAAAAAUUUAAAAAACUUAUGCUUGAAUAUCGGAAAUCCGACGUGGUAUAACAUUUGUGAUGAAUGUUUUUAAAAAGUUAUGAUACUCAAAUGAUCAAUUGAUAAAUUAUAUGGCACUCAAGUAAUCGAAAAAAAAAAAUUAUGAUACUUAAAUAAGCACUAUACAUUAAUUAUGAUAGUCAAGUGAUAAAAAACAAAUUAUGGCACUUGAAUGAGCACCGUACGAAAAUCAUGGCACUUGUAUGUUAUCUCCAAAAGUAUAUGCUUCCUUUUGUUUUUAACAUAUGAGUCUGAGUGAUGAUAGGAUAGAGUAUUGCAACCCGCCCACCAAUCUACUCAAACAGAGAUAAUUGAAUAAACCAUCCUUCAUCCUUUUGUUUGAUUGUAGAAUCCUUCGCUAUACUUGGACGAUGAAAUUAUUUAGAUAGAAACUUGUGUGUUGGAUUAAAUUCAACGAGAUCAUAUGACUAGUUAAUAUUCCUGAACUUUUACACCUGAAGGUUUCAUAGAAUUCUAACCUUGUCAAAUUAGAAGAACAAAGUGCACAAAUCCCCUUUCAGCGGUUUCCAAUCGACCUCCUUAUCUAAAGCAUAAAGAGUCCUCCCUACCAUUGCGUAUCGAAUUGCAAAGAAUUAGGCUUAGCAAAAAUAAAGCGCCACGCGAUUAUUCCUGCAUAUAAGUAGAUCUCCUCCUCCCACGGUACUAUUCAACUACCACCAAUCUGCUUCUGUCUGCGAGUUCCUGCUCAUUGUAAAUUGGUACUGUGAAUGAGAGAGGCCAGCAGAGAGAUACAAGCUAGAAUCCAGCUAUAUGUUAUGCAAAUGAAGCUAUCAAAGUAGUUGACGCAAUUGAGUUUCUUUUCUGCGACACGAUCUCUCCCUCUGGGUGAUGCGUGUGUGUGAGUGAGUGAACAGAGAUUGUUUGGUAAUGUGAAGUUUCUUCUCUGUUCCCUAUUUUUAUCUUUUGUUUUUAUGGUUCCAGAUGGAGACUUGCAAUGACUAUUGUGUAUGUUCCCGAAAGUAUAUAAAGCAAGGAAUUAUACUUUCAGAGAAUCCCCUUGGAAGUUCAGUUCAAUUGCAAAUAAUAUAUGGAGAUCAUUGUUUCCAAAAGAAAAAAAAAAUUGAGCCAAAUGGAUGCCCACAAUACAAAGUUAUAAUAGGCUUCUUAUCUAAAAUUCAAUUAGAGCGAGUCGAAAAGCUCAACAAGAUGAUCUUGUCACGAAUUUGAAGUAUAAAUCUUAAAGUUUUGCUCAUUGGACCCGGUGUUAUUGAAAAACUAUUGUUAAACACAAUAAAAGUACCACUCGCAUUUAAAUGUCAAAUGGGAAAAGAAAGAACGGAGUCAAAAGGAGGCGUCUCCAAUUUGUUUGUUUGUUUGUUUGUUUUUUUUUUUUAAUUUCCAUGCGUUCCCAGGGCCAGAUGAAUAAGAUGCGACAAAAUUUGGAAAAAUCUAAAGGCAUUUAAAAAUGAAAUAAUAUGCGCCGGACCAGAGAUAUCCAGAGACACCAAUUUCCGAAGAGGAAGGAGCUCGCAGCGUGGGGUGGGGAGUUCCCCCCGUCGUCAUCUCUCAUGUCAUCAAUCAUCGUGUCAAACCUUAACCAGCAUCGUUCUCCCUUCGUGUCGUUCGCCUGCAUCUCCCUCUUCGCGGUCCCGCCGCUUGCCGGGGAUGUCUACUCAUCCCAUAUUCCCUGAUCAUCGUCCCCUUCACCUCCUUCUCAAAUGCCAAGAAUUGCCGGUCGAGAUGGAGCCCUCAUCGUCGGAGAAGCAUGAGGCCUACUAUGACGACGACGACGAAGCGAAACCAGAGCGGGUCGUCCAAGUCCCCCGGCAAAAGUACAUCCCCGUCACUAAGGCGCAGCUUUUGGACGCCAUUUUGACGACCGCGUUCGACGACCCGGACGAAGCCCUUCAGUUCCUCAAUGUGUCUCGGUAAGACUUCCUCUCUACUCGUCAUCUUCACCGUCCUAACCGAAUCGCGAAAACUCGAUGGUACUACCUCACUCAUUUACUUCCGUUGGACGCCGACCCAGGUGUUUGGACGCCAUUAUUCAUGCUGAACAUAAGGUCGUUCUAGAAGACAUGCGGGCUGAUUAUUCCAUCAUUUCGGGUUUCGCGGGAAAGGAGGAAACGGUUGAUGAUGGGAGGCAAAGCGAGGUCGUCGCCGAUGAGAUGAAGUCCGACGCGACCAUGAGCGGCGAGGAGGGUCAGAUAGAAGUUGAGGAGCAAUUUCCUCUAAUGUCCUCUACUAUGUUGAAGAAACUGGUUGGUUCUUCCGUAAACAGUGGGAGGUAAUGCGGUGGUGAUCCAUCCAGGUUAGUUAUGGUACCACAUAGCAGCAAACGUGCUUCAGAAUUCAAGUGAAUUAAGUUUCUCAUUGAGUCGCCCGUUCAUUCGUUAUUCCAGUUCAUGCUCAGGCAAAUCUGACUCACAACCACCAUUUUUGUUAGAGUCGCUGUGGCCACUCGUUUCCAGCGGGCUUUCAUGCGACUUCUUUGUAAUGCACAGUUUGAAGAGCUAUCGGCUAGCGAUUUAAUGUUGACAUCCGCAUUGAAUAUCGAGUCCCGACUAUCUUCUAGACCUCCUACUUGCUUUAUUUGUCAGUGAGUAGAUUUAAAUUCUCAAAGCAUCGUAAUAACGGAGGUUAAAUCCUUAUGAUAAAAAUUAGAGAUCAGCUAAAGUGCCUAAUAGGUUAGCCAUUGCACUAAUCCAUUGGCACCAUAUUAUUCUUUAUAAUUAGCUCUUUUGUAUUAAAGUGUAAUUUUCUUUCCUAUUUUUUACAAAUGAAUUGUGUUUUUAAACCAUAAACAUGCUUUCUUGUAAAGAAUUUUGACUUCUUUUGUUGAUAGUUAAAGAUGAAAGCCACAAUUGUAAGUUUGUAGUGGGGAUGGUCAAAUCUCUUAUCAAUUUAAAGAAAAAAUAUUUUCAAUUCAAUUAUUUAUUGCGAAACAAAAGAAUAAUGAAUUUAGAUUCAUAAAGUCGACAUGAACUAACUAGUCUGGAAUGAAUUCAGUCAUGACUCAAACCUUUGGCCCCAGUUUGGGGGUGGAAUUGGACUUGUUGUUGCCCUUUUGCUAAGUUGUGUUUGAAACGGGUGUUUGGUGCAAUAACAUUUAAGUUUUGAGUUCGCGAGAUGUCAUUAUGUUUCUUAAUUAUAGACUCGACAAAUUACCAUAAAAUUUCAUGUUAGGGCUUGAAUGAGACUCAAUAUUGCCCGCUCUCGAUGGAUUCGAGUUGGAUUUGCAUACAUUGAAAAUUAAUGAGUUCCUUUUUCCUCACGCAAUGUGACUCGACCACGUAUGAAUUCUCAAAUCUUUGCCUAUUAAGAAAAUUUUAAUAGCAAACACAAGAUCAUAUUAAACUCGAAAGUUAUUUAGGAUUCAAUUAAUCAAUAAUUGUGAGAGCAUCUAAUAUAAUUUUUCCAUAUAUCAACAUGCUAGACCUUUCUCUAGUUAUCUUCUUAGAGGGUGACAUGUCAUGAUCAUUCCACGUGUUUAUAUAUAUAUAAUUUUUCUCAAGUUAUUGUUUUGACUACCAAAAAUGUCAAAUUAGUAUACUUAUAACAAAUUUAUCCUCUAUUGAUUUUUCUUAAAUUUUCAUCAAAUUGCUAAUUUUGAUGAUAUAUAAUAACGAGGGUUUUAUCCUCCGUUGGUUAUCGAAGUGUAUUUUCUACCGAAAGAAUCGAUUUUCUUAACCCAAAAAUUUGAUUUUCUUGGAAUUGAAAAAAAGGCCCGGACGCGUGCUUUCCAAGUUAACUGCCCUAAACCCCAAAACCCUAGGGGGCCGCCAUUGGAAGCUCCCAUUACCAGCGAGCCUCCUCCACAUUCGCAGCCGCGUCAGCCUCGUCCCUCCCUUCUCUCCCUGCUCUUGCGAUGGCCGACGGCGGCGAGACCACCACCACCACCACCACCACCGCGGUGGUGACCUUGGGAGGCAAGGGUUCCUCCCUCUCUCCGUCCUCAUUGCACGCGGUGUCCGCCGGAACCGCCCGCGUGCGCGUGGACUCGUCGGCGCGCGAUCGCCUCGCGUCUUCCCCGCCGGCCGCCAAUCGGACCGAUUUCCAGAUAUCCUUCCCUCCUUACUUCACCGCCGCGGAAACGCGCGCUUCUCUCGCGGUGCUCCUCAACAAGCUCCUCGUGUCGGGAGGUCCUGGCACGGGCACGGCGCUGGUCGAUCUUAUUUCGGAUUCCUUGAAUUCCGCGGAGGGGUACACGGGUUUUGGAAAUCUCGCCGUGACUAAUGAACAAGUGUCUAUAUCGGAGAAGGCGCAUUCCAGUUUUUAUGGGAUUAGCGCGCUUUUGGAUCACUUGUCGACGGCCUUGUCCACCACGGUCGAUGCGGUUGCUGCAUUGUCGUGCGAGGCCAUCAAAGCCGACGUGGCGGCGGUCUUCAAUCCGACGGAUUCGGGCGAUGGGUUCGUCUCGAAAGAUGAGAUCGGGGUUGCCAGCGACAUGAAGGUUUUGCUUAACGGGUCUAAGUUGGUGGGUAAGGUGGAGAACGAGGCAAUCUCAAGCAUUCCCAAAGUUCAUGCAACAUUGAGAAAGGUGGUGAAAUUCGUGCAUUCGGAGGUGCGAGUGUACCUGAAUUCGUCAGUUAGAAUACAGAAAACUGGGUCUACUGCUGAUGGCGCGGCGGGUGGCGUUGUGAGUGUGUUGUUGCUGCUGGCUGAUGUGCUGCUGAGGAUCGGUAAGAGCUCUUUAGGCCGAGCGAAGAUGGAUUUAGAUGCGAUUGCUGCCGAUGCCCUGAAAAGCAGCUUAACAGGUAUGUUUGAGGAGGAGUGUGCGCGUAUGGAUGAUUUAGAGAAUGAGUUAAAGGUGCUCGUGGAUGCACGUAUCGGUGGAGAAUUUGAGAAGUUUGUGCAUGAAUUGUACGUGCUUUGUGGUUGUGUCUGGAAAACAGUGGUUUGGGAGGCAAUUACCGCUUUUGUUGCCCUCGAGGGAAGUGAAUUGAUUGAAAAGGGAAAGCAUGAGGAAAUUAACGGAGUGCAAGCAGAUAAGAAAAGUGAGAAGAAGAAGAAGAAGAAGAAGGUGGUGUUGGGGAGAGGGACAGCUGUCUUGGUGCAAUUGAUUAAGGAUAGAUUUCAGAGGAACGGAAGUGACGAGUCAGUUUCUCUAGAGAAACUUGUAAAAGAUUUAUUACUGUUCCUGGACGCGAGGGGCCCAGAAUUUGACCAUUUCUUGAACAAAGUCAAGGACAUUGUUGACAGUAACGAGAGUAGAAGGCUACCCAAGCUUCCCAAGGUAAUUUAUUCAAGCUAUGAAAUGAUUGGUAUGAUAUCAAAAGAAUUGCUUCUAUCUCUUCUUUUUUUUCAGUAACGGUCAAAUUCUAACUUUUUAUUCCUGAAAGUAAUUUGGGAACAGAGUCGCAUUCGGUCAAAUUCUUUUCUUUUUUUCUUCUUCAUCAACCGCCUCAUCUGCCGGCAAUACUCCGGCGAGCUCGCUGGGCAAGCCCAGCCACCGGCAAGGCUCGGCCUCGCCAGAUCUGGUGAGGCCGAGCCUCGCCAGUGGCCAGGUGGGGCUGGGCGAGGCCCGCCUGGCCUGGGCGAGGCUCACCCAGCCCCGGCGAGUCCCGCCUGGCCACCAGCGAGGCUGGGCAAGCCUCACCCAGCCCGGCUGGGCUCGUCCUGCAACUGGCCUGAAGAAAAAGAAGCAUAGGAGAAAAAAAAAAUUAAAAAAAUGAGAAGAAAAAAUGAAAAAAAAUAAAAAUAAAAAUUAUUUAAAAUUAAAAGAAAUUGAUUUGGAACAGUGAGCACGGUUCUAAAUGCAAUUUUAUUCUAGAAUAAAAAAAUUUGGACAAUUACCAAACGGCUUAAAAUGUUAGAAUCUGUUCCUGAGAACAGAAUAAAAAAAACUUUGAAUGGACUAUAUCGAUCUCAUUCAUAAUGUGGCUGCUUGAUGACAAAAGGCUGGGCAAAUUUUGGUGUUUUAAAAGAGGCUGCUGUAUGGACAAUUAGUUUAUGGGGGGGGGGGGGGGACAGAGAGAGAGAGAGUAUAUCGAGUUAUGUAACUUAUAGAAAUAUCGAGCUUUCCUUGAGAUAUUCGUUUGGUCCACACAAUUUUUUCCAGGUCUAUCAAAGCUUGCUCCUUCUACUCACAUACAAAAGUCAUAAUUAUUCUUCUUACAGACAAGGUCAUCUUGGUUUAACUUUCACAUUUGAAUUAUCUUAUCUAUGAUUGGAAGCAUUUAAUCUUGUAUCAAAAGUGGAUGACUUCUACCAUUUUGAUUAAUGUUAACUACUUUCAACAUCUAUCGGGGAUUUCAGUCAGUUUAAAAUUUGCAUGGUAUGGUCCAUGCAGGGAACUCGUGAUUUUGGGAAAGAACAAAUGGCAGUAAGAGAGAAAGCAUUCUCCAUUAUAAAAGAGGUUUUCAAGAAGCAUGGUGCCACGGCACUUGAUACUCCUGUUUUGGAAUUGAAGGACACUCUGAUGGGAAAAUAUGGCGAGGACUCAAAGUUGAUAUACGAUCUUGCUGACCAGGUAAAUUUCGAGGAUAUUUUAUUGCAUUCACCUUACUUGCUACCUUAGAUGUAUUGAUGGUUGAUAUUCUUUUGCAUGUCAUGCUUAAGAAAGUUGUUAAAGUUGAUAAACUCCCUUGCACUGCGAAUGUAAUGUUCUCACUGACUUGGAGAGCCAGGGAUUGGCAUAAUUGAUUCCCUGUACUAAUGAUACCUAUUCUUUGUGUUGCCAGUCAUACUCAUGUUUCUGCUUUACAUCUAAUACGACGAAUGAUCUUUUGUCUUCCCUCUUAAGGCUAUUGUCCUUUUCUUUGACAGGGUGGAGAGCGUUGUUCUCUACGAUUUGACUUGACUGUUCCAUUUGCGAGAUAUAUGGCUAUGAAUGGACUUACGUCAUUGAAGAGAUACCAAAUUGCUAAAGUAUACAGGAGGGAUAAUCCUUCUAAGGGUAGAUACCGUGAGUUUUACCAGUGUGACUUCGACAUUGCCGGGCAAAAUGUAAGGAUGGGGCCGGAUUUUGAGGUCAUAGAAGUUCUUGUUGAGUUGCUUGAUAAACUGAAUAUUGGAGAUUAUGAGGUAAACAUCCUCUUGCUUGUCCUCCCCCCAUCCUUCACAUUGUUUAUCUAUAUCCUGAAAUUUAGAAGACAGAAUAAAAGUAGAAACAAAAAAAAAGCUCAAACUGGAAAAUGACAAAGAAUGCAAAAUGUUGAUGGUUAAAUGGGUGACACUUGUCUACCCUCAAGGAUUGUCCUUUUAUAAUGUAAUUUUCAUAUCUUUGUUGUUGAUGUUCAGGAUAGCGCUUUAUUUUUAUUUUUUUUUGGUAAAGUAGGAUAGGCUUUAUUGUUUAUGUAGAAAUUCAAGAAAGAUGUUGCACUUCAGUCGUAAGUUUCUGACUGUUUUUAUAGUUAUUUUCAGGAUUUAAUGAUUGCCGGUAAAAAUUUAGUUUCUGGUAUUCAGGCUUUAUAUGUACAUGGAAAGAGAAGUUCUUUAUGUUUGGCAUUUUUGUCAGAGUUUGAAUACCUUCUCUUCACCUGUUUAUCUUUUUUUUUUUUUUUUUUUAAAUUUGUUGAUAACGAUUGUUCUCAGAUAAAGCUGAACCACCGGAAGUUAUUGGACGGCAUGCUGAAAAUAUGUGGUGUGCCACCAGAGAAAUUCAGAACUAUUUGCUCAAGUAUCGACAAGUUAGACAAACAGUCAUUUGACCAGAUCAGGAAGGAGAUGGUAAGAAAUUAUACCAUCCUUGUGGUCAUGCUCAUGUCUAAAUUAGGAAAGUAUUGGUGAGAAACUCUUUAGUAGCCUUGCAUGUAUGCUUGUGUUGGUGAGAAACCAGAUUUUGUAUGUGGUGUUGUGAAUGUCAUUUUCUUUGUGAACUCAAUUUUCAUUCGACUUUUUUUGUACAAUAUUUUCAAUUGAUUCUGAUGGAGGAAAAGAGAGCAUUGGGUGAUUCAAAUGUGGACAUACUUGAAAGCACUUGGUAGAGCUCUGUUUUUAUAAUUAUCUGUUGACAAUCGAUUUGCCUUUCGCCAUUGGAAGACAUUAAUGUUUCUCUCUGGAGGGAAGAGUUUAAGCAAAUUUAAGGCUCCUCAAAUGAAUGCAUGAGUCCUGGAAUAUCCAGGGAAGUUGAAGGUAACGUGCAUGUGUUUUCAUUCAGUAAAUAUCAGCUAGUUGUGUUUUGAUCCAACUCACUGCUUAUGUAUGAAUAUGUACUCAGCUUUCGUCUAUUUGAUGGGGCUCUUUAACAACUUUAUUGUUGGGUUGUCUUUCAUGACCUGUGGUCAUUAUGGAAACAUGUGUUCUUUGGGUGGAUAAACUGAUAUUUUCACUGUGUUUUAUUGUUAAAAACAUAAGCCCAAAUUUCUGCUAAACUUUCUUAACAUCAUUUAGGUGGAGGAAAAAGGUUUAACUGCUGAGGUGGCCGACCGCAUUGGCAAUUUUGUAAAGGAACGGGGUCCACCUCUGGAAUUGUUGGCAAAGCUUCAAGACAAGGGGAGCAAAUUUUUGGAAAAUGAAGGAUCUGUGCAUGCUCUGGAUGAUUUGAAAAUAUUGUU
rnacentral:lncRNA from 1 species